GACGAACGCUGGCGGCGUGCUUAACACAUGCAAGUCGAACGGUGAAGCGCCUUCCUUUUUGGUGGGUGUGGAUGAGUGGCGAACGGGUGAGUAACACGUGAGUAACCUGCCCCCUUCUUCUGGAUAACCGCAUGAAAGUGUGGCUAAUACGGGAUAUUCUGGGUCUGUCGCAUGAUGGGUCUGGGAAAGAUAUUGUUUCGGUGGGGGAUGGGCUCGCGGCCUAUCAGCUUGUUGGUGGGGUGAUGGCCUACCAAGGCGGUGACGGGUAGCCGGCCUGAGAGGGUGGACGGUCACACUGGGACUGAGACACGGCCCAGACUCCUACGGGAGGCAGCAGUGGGGAAUAUUGCACAAUGGGCGCAAGCCUGAUGCAGCGACGCCGCGUGAGGGAUGGAGGCCUUCGGGUUGUGAACCUCUUUCGCCAGUGAAGCAGGCCUGCCUCGUUUGUGGGUGGGUUGACGGUAGCUGGUUAAGAAGCGCCGGCUAACUACGUG
rnacentral:rRNA from 1 species